rnacentral:rRNA from 1 species
CAGUCGCCGCGGUAAUACGUAGGUGGCAAGCGUUGUCCGGAAUUAUUGGGCGUAAAGGGCUCGCAGGCGGUUUCUUAAGUCUGAUGUGAAAGCCCCCGGCUCAACCGGGGAGGGUCAUUGGAAACUGGGAAACUUGAGUGCAGAAGAGGAGAGUGGAAUUCCACGUGUAGCGGUGAAAUGCGUAGAGAUGUGGAGGAACACCAGUGGCGAAGGCGACUCUCUGGUCUGUAACUGACGCUGAGGAGCGAAAGCGUGGGGAGCGAACAGGAUAAGAGACCCCAGUAGUCCCUGUCUCUUAUAC